rnacentral:rRNA from 1 species
UGGGGAAUAUUGGACAAUUGAGGGAACUCUGAUCCAGCAAUUCUGUGUGUGUGAAGAAGGUUUUAGGACUGUAAAACACUUUUAGUAUGGAAGAAAAAAAUGACGGUACCUACAGAAGAAGCAACGGCUAAAUACGUGCCAGCAGCCGCGGUAAUACGUAUGUUGCGAGCGUUAUCCGGAAUUAUUGGGCUUAAAGGGCAUCUAGGCGGUAAGACAAGUUGAAGGUGAAAACCUGUGGCUCAACCAUAGGCUUGCCUACAAAACUGUUGAACUAGAGUACUGGAAAGGUGGGUGGAAAUACACGAGUAGAGGUGAAAUUCGUAGAUAUGUGUAGGAAUGCAGAUGAUGAAGAUAACUCACUGGACAGAAACUGACGCUGAAGUGCGAAAGCUAGGGGAGCAAACAGG